AGUGAACGCUGGCGGUAGGCCUAACACAUGCAAGUCGAACGGCAGCACAGUAAGAGCUUGCUCUUACGGGUGGCGAGUGGCGGACGGGUGAGGAAUACAUCGGAAUCUACUUUUUCGUGGGGGAUAACGUAGGGAAACUUACGCUAAUACCGCAUACGACCUACGGGUGAAAGCAGGGGAUCUUCGGACCUUGCGCGAUUGAAUGAGCCGAUGUCGGAUUAGCUAGUUGGCGGGGUAAAGGCCCACCAAGGCGACGAUCCGUAGCUGGUCUGAGAGGAUGAUCAGCCACACUGGAACUGGGACACGGUCCAGACUCCUACGGGAGGCAGCAGUGGGGAAUAUUGGACAAUGGUCGCAAGCCUGAUCCAGCCAUACCGCGUGGGUGAAGAAGGCCUUCGGGUUGUAAAGCCCUUUUGUUGGGAAAGAAAAGCAGCAGGUUAAUACCCCGCUGUUCUGACGGUACCCAAAGAAUAAGCACCGGCUAACUUCGUG
rnacentral:rRNA from 1 species